rnacentral:lncRNA from 1 species
ACCUGCAAAUAACACUAAGAAGUAGAACAAGGAUCAAAGAAUAAUGUCAUCUGAGGUAGAAAAAAAAACAAGCUCAGGGAUAUGUGUGAGGGGGUAGAUCCUACAGUGGUUUCUUUCAGGAUCCUGAAUGUCCCAGGGUCUGCUGGGAUAGAGUAUGCAGAGAGACAGAGUUCUGGUCACCUAUGAAGGUAUAACAUUUGGAGGAGCAGCUGCUGUGGAGAUAGAGGAAAUAACCAGAUGUUUAAAGUAACAAGGAAGGGUUCACUUCAUUCUAACCAAAGCAUGGCAAAGCUUAUGUCAUUUUAGAAGUAUGAUUGCCCAGGAGGGGUGGCUUUUUGAGCUUUUGCUACUCUGUGAAGUAACUAUGGAGAUACCUCGUGAUUUCAAGAAUCUACUUUCACCAAUGACAAUGGGGACACAGAUUUGUUUGUUUUCUUCAGUUUAUUCCUUCUAUGAUUCCUCCCAUUCAUAAUGGGAGGAAUAAAAUAUAACCUUGGUGGCCCACAUAUUCAUCUGAGUAAUAUUGACCUUGUGUCUAGCCUUUGUGAAUUGCAUCAUCCCUGUUGUGCUUGUUACCAUCACAAUUCCCAUUGUGUUGGACAGCUUUGGGAUUGGUUGGUCUUUGUUGUCAUGGUUAUAUUUGAGAUCCUGAGCUGGGCAGUUUUCAGCCUGACACAUUGUCAUAUUGAAGAAUAUUGCAUUCAGGCUUCAGAAACCCCCUUUUAAAUAACUUAGUGUUUAGAUGUAGAAACAACAACUCUUCUAAGAAGCUAAAUAAAAGGGAUGAAGAAAUAAAGUAUGCUGAACCAAUGGAUCUGGCCAAUUUGUUUGACACCAUUUCUUCUAUGGUUAUGGCCUGCUAUGCCUUUGGAUACAUGGAUGUGUUCUAUUGGGGGGCUUUAUGGGUCGUAACUACCUCCGUUGGCCAGCUCCUCUUCUCUUAUCAUCACUAUUUGAACAAUGAUGCUUAUCGUACCACCAAAUUUGGCUUCCAUAGUCUCUUUUGGCAGAAACAAGCUUGGGAACAAUUCAUGAUAACAGUAAUCAUCAGGUCAAAAAAUGUGGAUGAGACCAGGGAAGGAAUUAUUGGGGAUUUCUUUUGCUGUAUUAUUGCCAGUAUUUUGGUCCUGACGUCCCUCAGUAUAAGCCUCUUAGAAUUGAUUCAGAAUGUUUUCUUUGCUCUUCUUACUAUCCACACCAUUCAUCAAUUAUCUACUAAGGAAGAUGAAAAAAAUAACUUUUGCUUUGGGAGUAUCUGUUUCCUUUAUGCUCUUAUUUCCCUGUAUGCUACUUGUGCUAGUGUAGUGAAUUCAGAAGAGAAAAAAAAAAUGAUGCCCACUGGGGCCUACGUCAUUUCAAAAUACAAAUUUCUGGAGAUCCUUUGUCCUUUUAAAAACCUCAUUCAGCUUAUUCGAUCAAAUGGAUUCCCAGAAAUCAACAGCUCCCUUAUUUUGAAUACCUUAUUGUAUGUCUGCAAUGGCCUGACUGCCCUCUCAGCUAUCCAGGGCACGUUGAUUAAUUCCUCUAACCAUUCUGGCAGAAUCCCUUCUGUCAUGACUCCAGGAGCCGUGUUUCAGAUAUAUGUGUGCAAUACCCAGGCCCAAAAAGGGGGAAGGUUUUCAACACUCCUGCCAUUCUGUUAUGCUGCUACCUGGGCAACCUGGACUUGGCUUCAAUUUUCAAGGUCUUUCAAUGAUUCUGAAAGCACUAAGGGCAUCUCACUAGGGACUUUGAUCUUCCUGAUAAUCAAUGUCUUCUUCCUCAUAUUAGAUUCUGAUGUAAAUAUAAUCCUGGUGCUAUUGACUCUUUGCAUGGAAAUACUGAGUAUCAGUUUCUUUUUGAUUACUUGUGAACGGUUGCCUCUUCCAUUGGAGGUCACUAUGUUGGCUAUUCUUUGUGCUGUUUCCAUCUAUAUGACUGUAGCUUCUUUCACCAUAUUCAUGUUUAGGACAGACUUUAUUUCCUUGGGAUUCACUGUGAAUGAGAAGCAACAAGAGGCACAUCCAUCUUUGUUCCAUAAAUUCAACUGGCCUAAGUCUUCCUUUCCUGAAUAUUCUGUGCCCAAUGUAAGCCACAGCAGAAGAAGUAUGCUAAACAUUUUAAAAUGCCUUAAAGAUAAUGACUUGUGUACAAAUGCACUUGAGAUGCUGAAUGAUCUGAUGGCAAGGAAGAAAGAAAGUUCUGGGGACCACUGUAGAAUCCAGAAUAUGAGUUUCCCAACAUGUCAUCCUCUGAGGCUUACAUCGCGAAAUAAAAAUGCUCCUUCAUCAGUGAAAUCUCUUCAACAAGCAAGGAAUGUACAGGCACUUAUAAAGAUCUUUGAGGAUGAUUCCAUAUCUGCUACAUCCACUGACAUUGAAAGGGAAUCUCAGAGUGACUCAUACAAGCAAAAACAGGAGAGGCGGAGUCAAGAUGGCAGCCUAGAAGGAGCAGAAGUUCAGACCUCUGAAUACCCUUCCUUCCCGAUCACAAACUAAAUGCUUCUAGGGGACUGAAAAGCAAACCUAACAAGACAGAGCGAAGGAACCCUCCUGCUGGACUCAAUUCAAAAGAUACGCCCCCUGAAAAGCCAGAAUCUGAGAACACUCAGGUUUAAGGGGAAGGCAGAAGGAAGGUCCCAGAACUCCUCCCGCCGCACACCUAGAGUGCUGAGACUCCAGUGGCAGUGGGAACUUCUGGGCGGGCAAAGGUGCUGAUCAGGAAGGUGUACCUUGCGGCCAGGGCUUUGCCUAGUUCAGAGUGUCAAACACAGAAGCCGGGAAGGAGCUAGAGAGGGAGCAUAUACCUGGCAGCAUGGCCAGAGCUGAGGAGAUACUCCAUAUUUUCUCUAGCCUUCCAGGAGGUUUUGGACUCAGAGAACACUCAACCUGAACUUAAUUCCAUCAAAAUUCUUCAGAACUCAGGGAAGGCCAGGCUCCACACCCCUCCUCAUUGACUGCUGGACAUUAAUCCAAUCAAAAGCCUUCAGAGGACAGGGAAGCUCAAACCCCCAACAAUCCUCUCCCAGAGAUUGCAUCAAGAGAACUUCUGUCAAAGAUCCAAGACUGGAAACUGACAGAAGCCCCCAAAACCAAAAAAAUGAGAGGAGCAAGAGCACAGACAAACACAGGGAGCAAAGAAGGGGUAAAUAUGAGCAAACAACAGAAAAAGAAGAAAGAAAUUACAAUAGAGAGCUUCUAUACAGAGAACAGAACAGAGGAGGAUGCAUCAGCAAACAAUAAAUCUGAAAUCCCAGUGAAUUGGGUAUAGGCU